AUAUCAAUAAGCGGAGGAAAAGAAACCAACAGGGAUUGCCCUAGUAACGGCGAGUGAAGCGGCAACAGCUCAAAUUUGAAAUCUGGCCCUCGUGGUCCGAGUUGUAAUUUGUAGAGGAUGCUUUUGGUUAGGUGCCUUCCGAGUUCCCUGGAACGGGACGCCAUAGAGGGUGAGAGCCCCGUCUGGUUGGACACCGAGCCUCUGUAAAGCUCCUUCGACGAGUCGAGUAGUUUGGGAAUGCUGCUCUAAAUGGGAGGUAUAUGUCUUCUAAAGCUAAAUAUUGGCCAGAGACCGAUAGCGCACAAGUAGAGUGAUCGAAAGAUGAAAAGCACUUUGAAAAGAGGGUUAAAAAGUACGUGAAAUUGUUGAAAGGGAAGCGCUUGUGACCAGACUUGGGCCCGGUCAAUCAUCCAGGGUUCUCCCUGGUGCACUUGGCCGGCCCAGGCCAGCAUCAGUUUGUCGCGGGGGAUAAAGACGUUGGGAAUGUGGCUCCUCCGGGAGUGUUAUAGCCCUUCGUGUAAUACCCUGCUUCGGACUGAGGUUCGCGCAUCUGCAAGGAUGCUGGCGUAAUGGUCAUCAGCGACCCGUCUUGAAACACGGACCAAGGAGUCGUCUUCGUAUGCGAGUGUUCGGGUGUCAAACCCCUACGCGUAAUGAAAGUGAACGCAGGUGAGAGCUUCGGCGCAUCAUCGACCGAUCCUGAUGUUCUCGGAUGGAUUUGAGUAAGAGCAUACGGGGCCGGACCCGAAAGAAGGUGAACUAUGCCUGUAUAGGGUGAAGCCAGAGGAAACUCUGGUGGAGGCUCGCAGCGGUUCUGACGUGCAAAUCGAUCGUCAAAUAUGGGCAUGGGGGCGAAAGACUAAUCGAACCUUCUAGUAGCUGGUUUCCGCC
rnacentral:rRNA from 1 species